GCGGCGCGAGGAGGAGGCGAAUGUGGUGCUCACCGGCACAGUGGAGGAGAUCCUCAACGUGGACCCGGUGCAGCACACGUACUCAUGCAAGGUCCGAGUGUGGCGGUACUUGAAAGGCAAAGAUGUGGUGGCCCAGGAGAGUCUGCUGGAUGGUGGCAACAAGGUGGUAAUUGGUGGCUUUGGAGACCCCCUCAUCUGCGACAACCAGGUGUCCACUGGGGACACUAGAAUCUUUUUUGUGAACCCGGCACCACCCUACAUGUGGCCAGCCCACAAGAAUGAGUUGAUGCUUAACUCCAGCCUUAUGCGGAUCACUUUGCGGAACCUGGAAGAGGUGGAGUUCUGUGUAGAAGACAAACCUGGAAUCCACUUCACACCAGCGCCUCCUACGCCUCCUGAUG
rnacentral:lncRNA from 1 species